UCUCUCAGCCUGUCCUUGGAGGAGAGCUGUUUGAUCCCUUGGUUCUUUUUUUUUUUUUUUUUUUGUGGCCAUCCUCUGAUGUGAUCCAACAGGUCCAUGUCUCUUCUGCACUGAGGACUCUACAUUCUGACCCAAUCUCUAGAUGUGGGAUUGUGCAGAAAAUGGACUCAGAUAAGGGAAGCCUCUUCACAAGUCCUACAGGAGCUGAUGAGAACUUCAGAAAUGAAGUGGGAGCUCCAUACUCCGUGGCACCCUCCUUCUUCAGGGAAAGUAGAAUGAAUCAAUCAGAUGCUGAAGAAGCACUUGUCAAAAUUGGUUUCAGAGACCAAAUUACCAUGGACAAAGUGUUUGCCUGUAGCCCUUGUCAGAAUACGAACCACUCACAGAAAAGGCUUAGGAGUAUCACCACACAAAGUGCUGUUUGGGUGGCCGUACUUGGGAAUGGUGAGAUGCCCGCUCUUGAAACCAAGGUGCACUCAUCCCGUGUUGGAGGCUGGUCCUAAUACGUGCCUGGAAGGAAUCAAGGCUUCAGCCCGAGUGGGAUGGAAUGGACCAUUUCAGCGAUGCAGUGUUUCAGAAGGGAGAAAAGCACGGCAGGCGUAAACUGGAUUUCUGUGGUUGGUAAAGCUGUGCUGAGAAGUGGGCUGACACUUGGACCUGGAAAUGUGUCUGCAGACUCUGCACCCAGAGGAAUGACUUUUCCCUGCAGGUUGGGUUUGUCUAAGGUGAUUUUUUCACGAGGAAAGAUUUGAAAUGCUGUUUGCUAAUGGAAGAUGGAGUGAGGAAAAUCAAGUGAAAGGCACGCUGUGCAUAGCCAGCACAUAGCAUCUGCACCGCUCUCCCCCUGCACAAAGGAGGAGCAGCUCAGCAAGCCUGGCCUGAGCCAUGGAAGGGAGCACACAAACAUCUGGACCAACCCCAGCGGAGCUGCUU